rnacentral:tRNA from 1 species
AAGAAAGUGGCAGAGUGGUUAUGUGCCUGGCUUGAAACUAGGCUAUGGAGGUUCAAUUCCUUCCUUUCUCG